ACGCUGGCGGCAGGCCUAACACAUGCAAGUCGAGCGGAUGACGGGAGCUUGCUCCUUGAUUCAGCGGCGGACGGGUGAGUAAUGCCUAGGAAUCUGCCUGGUAGUGGGGGACAACGUUUCGAAAGGAACGCUAAUACCGCAUACGUCCUACGGGAGAAAGCAGGGGACCUUCGGGCCUUGCGCUAUCAGAUGAGCCUAGGUCGGAUUAGCUAGUUGGUGGGGUAAUGGCUCACCAAGGCGACGAUCCGUAACUGGUCUGAGAGGAUGAUCAGUCACACUGGAACUGAGACACGGUCCAGACUCCUACGGGAGGCAGCAGUGGGGAAUAUUGGACAAUGGGCGAAAGCCUGAUCCAGCCAUGCCGCGUGUGUGAAGAAGGUCUUCGGAUUGUAAAGCACUUUAAGUUGGGAGGAAGGGCAUUAACCUAAUACGUUAGUGUUUUGACGUUACCGACAGAAUAAGCACCGGCUAACUCUGUGCCAGCAGCCGCGGUAAUACAGAGGGUGCAAGCGUUUAUCGGAAUUACUGGGCCUAAAGCGCGCGUAGGUGGUUUGUUAAGUUGGAUGCGAAAGCCCCGGGCUCAACCUGGGAACUGAAUCAAAAACUGGCACCUAGAGAAC
rnacentral:rRNA from 1 species